UACGUAGGUGACAAGCGUUGUCCGGAUUUACUGGGCGUAAAGAGCGCGCAGGCGGUCGAUCAAGUCGAGUGUGAAAGCCCCCGGCUCAACUGGGGAGGGUCAUUCGAUACUGAUCGACUCGAAGGCAGGAGAGGGUAGUGGAAUUCCAGGUGUAGCGGUGAAAUGCGUAGAUAUCUGGAGGAACACCGGUGGCGAAGGCGGCGUCCUGGACCAACACUGACACUGAUGAGCGAAAGCCAGGGGAGCAAACGGG
rnacentral:rRNA from 1 species